rnacentral:pre_miRNA from 1 species
GUUGAGGGGAAUGUUGUCUGGUUCGAGACCAUUCAAAUCAAAAUCAAAAUCAAAUGAAUGAUUUCGGACCAGGCUUCAUUCCCCCCAAC